rnacentral:lncRNA from 1 species
AGUAAAAUCAUUCACGUCACACACGUUCGGAAAAUAAACACGUAAUACCACGUAUCUUAUCUUAAUGAUAUCCCCACCGAGCACAGGGCUGAAAAAUGGGUUUCUCACUAAAACAAGAAGGGUAUGGGAGUGAUGGGAAUGGGAGCACAAAUAUGAGUUAGUGAGCAAAUAAAGUUAGUGCACAAAUUCCCGAUAAUAACGAGUGGCCAACUCGAGUAUUUUGAAAUCAAGAGAGCUUAAGAUGAAGAGAAAUUUGUUUAAAAAGCCCUUUGAAAAUGGUCGAUUAAGACUCGGAUAAUUGAAGCUAAAAGAAACCACUUACACGAUUGAUGCACGAAAGUUCGCCGGAGAAAUUCGUCGGAGGUUCGAUACGACUUUAAGCACACGAACGAAUUUGGGCAGCCCUUCGGGAGGAUGAAAAGAGUGGUUUAUGAAAAUGCUAAGAUGAGAGAGGGUUGGUUGGGUGGAACGAAGCUUCGGGGUUUAAAACCUUGUAUAUAUCGGAAUAUAUGAAGAAUCGAAGGUUUUAAAGAUGAAGUAGAAGAAGUGAGCACUUGAAUAAACUUUGGGAGAGUGUUUCUUCUCUAAAAUCUCAGCAUAUAUUUG